GACAGAGGAUGCAAACGUUGCUCGGAUUUACUGGGCGUAAAGCGCGCGCAGGCGGUCCUGUAAGUCGGACGUGAAAGCCCGGGGCUCAACCUCGGAAGUGCGUCUGAUACUGCAGGACUGGAGUACUGGAGAGGAGAGCGGAAUUCCCGGUGUAGAGGUGAAAUUCGUAGAUAUCGGGAGGAACACCAGUGGCGAAGGCGGCUCUCUGGACAGAUACUGACGCUGAGGCGCGAAAGCGUGGGAAGCAAACAGGAUUAGAUACCCUGGUAGUCCACGCUGUAAACGAUGGCAACUGGGUGUUUCGGGUAUUGACCCCCGAGGUGCCGAAGUCAACACGUUAAGUUGCCCGCCUGGGAAGUACGGUCGCAAGACUAAA
rnacentral:rRNA from 1 species